GUGCCUGUAGCUCAGCAGGAUAGAGCAACUGCCUUCUAAGCAGUAGGUUGGGGGUUCGAGUCCCUCCAGGCACGCCA
rnacentral:tRNA from 3 species